ACGGGUGAGUAAUGCCUAGGAAUCUGCCUGGUAGUGGGGGACAACGUUUCGAAAGGAACGCUAAUACCGCAUACGUCCUACGGGAGAAAGCAGGGGACCUUCGGGCCUUGCGCUAUCAGAUGAGCCUAGGUCGGAUUAGCUAGUUGGUGAGGUAAUGGCUCACCAAGGCGACGAUCCGUAACUGGUCUGAGAGGAUGAUCAGUCACACUGGAACUGAGACACGGUCCAGACUCCUACGGGAGGCAGCAGUGGGGAAUAUUGGACAAUGGGCAAAAGCCUGAUCCAGCCAUGCCGCGUGUGUGAAGAAGGUCUUCGGAUUGUAAAGCACUUUAAGUUGGGAGGAAGGGUUGUAGAUUAAUACUCUGCAAUUUUGACGUUACCGACAGAAUAAGCACCGGCUAACUCUGUGCCAGCAGCCGCGGUAAUACAGAGGGUGCAAGCGUUAAUCGGAAUUACUGGGCGUAAAGCGCGCGUAGGUGGUUCGUUAAGUUGGAUGUGAAAUCCCCGGGCUCAACCUGGGAACUGCAUCCAAAACUGGCGAGCUAGAGUAUGGUAGAGGGUGGUGGAAUUUCCUGUGUAGCGGUGAA
rnacentral:rRNA from 1 species